GAUGAACGCUGGCGGCGUGCCUAAUACAUGCAAGUCGAGCGAACAGACGAGGAGCUUGCUCCUCUGACGUUAGCGGCGGACGGGUGAGUAACACGUGGAUAACCUACCUAUAAGACUGGGAUAACUUCGGGAAACCGGAGCUAAUACCGGAUAAUAUAUUGAACCGCAUGGUUCAAUAGUGAAAGACGGUUUUGCUGUCACUUAUAGAUGGAUCCGCGCCGCAUUAGCUAGUUGGUAAGGUAACGGCUUACCAAGGCAACGAUGCGUAGCCGACCUGAGAGGGUGAUCGGCCACCCUGGAACUGGGACACGGUCCAGAGGCCUACGGGAGGCAGCAGUAGGGAAUCUUCCGCAAUGGGCGAAAGCCUGACGGAGCAACGCCGCGUGAGUGAUGAAGGUCUUCGGAUCGUAAAACUCUGUUAUUAGGGAAGAACAAAUGUGUAAGUAACUAUGCACGUCUUGACGGUACCUAAUCAGAAAGCCACGGCUAACUACGUG
rnacentral:rRNA from 1 species